AACCGAAGUAUAGGAGGUCCUACCUGCCCAGUGACUAUUUGUUUAACGGCCGCGGUAUCUUGACCGUGCUAAGGUAGCGAAAUCACUUGUCUUUUAAAUGAGGACCUGUAUGAAUGGUGGACCCAGGGCUUAACUGUCUCCUUUUUCAAGUCAGUGAAAUUGAUCUGCCCGUGCAGAAGCGGACAUAAAUAUACAAGACGAGAAGACCCUUUGGAGCUUAAGACAUACAGUCAACUGUGUUAAAAGUUCUACCAAAAAAAUUAAACUAAACAAUAACUGACUUUGCGUCUUCGGUUGGGGCGACCGCGGGGGAAAACAAAGCCCCCACGUAGAAUGGGACAACUCCCUAAAACCAAGAGAAACAUCUCUAAGUCACAGAACCUCUGACUAAAAGAUCCGGCACACGCCGAUCAACGAACCAAGUUACCCGAGGGAUAACAGCGCAAUCCCCUCCAAGAGCCCGUAUCAACAAGGGGGUUUACGACCUCGAUGUUGGAUCAGGAAUCCUAAUGGUGAGCCGCUAUUAAGGGUUCGUUUGGUCAACGAUUAAAGUCCUACGUGAUCUGAG
rnacentral:rRNA from 1 species